UACGUAGGGUGCGAGCGUUUGUCCGGAAUUAUUGGGCGUAAAGAGCUUGUAGGCGGUUUGUCGCGUCUGCUGUGAAAAUCCGGGACUCAACCCCGGACCUGCAGUGGGUACGGGCAGACUAGAGUGUGGUAGGGGAGACUGGAAUUCCUGGUGUAGCGGUGAAAUGCGCAGAUAUCAGGAGGAACACCGAUGGCGAAGGCAGGUCUCUGGGCCACUACUGACGCUGAGAAGCGAAAGCAUGGGGAGCGAACAGG
rnacentral:rRNA from 1 species